GAGGGAUGGCCGAGCGGUUGAUGGCGCUGGUCUUGAAAACCAGUGAUGCUGAAAGGCACCGGGGGUUCGAAUCCCUCUCUCUCC
rnacentral:tRNA from 1 species